AAUUAAUUAAAUUUAGUUUUAUUCAUUUAUUUCUCUUUUUAUUUAAUUGUAUUAAAUAAAUUUUACUUGUAAGUAACAAUUAAAUUUUAAUUUUAUUUUUCAAAUUAUAAUUUCAAAUCACAAAUUCUAAAGUUCAAAAUUCUAGCUUUUAAAUUUUAUAACCAAAACACUGCAGCUUUUAAUCGAAAUAAAUUCUUUAAACCUAGCAGAAAUCACUUUUUUUCGGAAUCUAGACCAAACUGACACUAAGAGUCACGAAGCCAAUGAACAUUAUCUUAUUUAAAAAC
rnacentral:lncRNA from 1 species